rnacentral:rRNA from 1 species
UACGUAGGGUGCGAGCGUUAAUCGGAAUUACUGGGCGUAAAGCGUGCGUAGGUGGUGAGUUAAGUCUGUCGUGAAAGCCCCGGGCUCAACCUGAGAAUGGCGAUGGAUACUGGCUCGCUAGAGUGCGGUAGAGGAGAGUGGAAUUCCCGGUGUAGCAGUGAAAUGCGUAGAGAUCGGGAGGAACAUCAGUUGCGAAGGCGGCUCUCUGGACCAGCACUGACACUGAGGCACGAAAGCGUGGGGAGCAAACAGG